UCCUUUGAAGUUUAUGUUAGAAAUCUGGAAAUUUUAGAGAAUUGUUGAAAUAGGAUUUUAUUUCUUAAGCUUUGUUUUCGUGAGCGUCAUCUUUGGUGCGACAUGUUAUGUAUAUCUUUAGGAAACCAGAAUGUUUAGAGUUUUAAUACUCGGUUGGGUUGUUGGCAGGCCGAGAAGAAUUAAACCGAGCUUAUAGACCAAGGAUCUAGCCCAAGACUGUAGAGAUCGAGUUCCCGGUGCCUGAUAGACUGCCUUAGUCUGCGGAAGCUUCAUUAUCGAUUGCCAGUACGUGUUUUGAGUUGGGCAUAGAGUCUGUUGUGUUGUGAUGUAUAUACACCCUUGUAUGUUAUAGAUACUCCACAGUUUGUAUAAGCUUUAGGAGCUGUAGUUGUGUAAAUUUUGUUGGUUAUAUUUUGAUUAAGGUGUCUUUAGGUUUACUCGUGAAAUCGGUAAAUUUUGAGGUACACUUCAUGUAUGUGUUUGACUAGCUGUGUUUGACUAGCCUAGGAUCCGCUGUGUUUUGUGGCAUGUACAAUAGUUUAUAUACUAGAUUGGCAAGUUCA